GGUUAAUAUAUAACUGAUAUGUCACUGUGUUAGUUAGGGGUUAAAGGUCAGGGUUAAUAUAUAACUGAUAUGUCACUGUGUUAGUUAGGGGUUAAAGGUCAGGGUUAAUAUAUAACUGAUAUGUCACUGUGUUAGUUAGGGUCAGGGGUUAAAGGUCAGGGUUAAUAUAUAACUGAUAUGUCACUGUGUUAGUUAGGGGUUAAAGGUCAGGGUUAAUAUAUAACUGAUAUGUCACUGUGUUAGUUAGGGGUUAAAGGUCAGGUUAAUAUAUAACUGAUAUGUCACUGUGUUAGUUAGGGGUUAAAGGUCAGGGUUAAUAUAUAACUGAUAUGUCACUGUGUUAGUUAGGGGGUUAAAGGUCAGGGUUAAUAUAUAACUGAUAUGUCACUGUGUUAGGGGUUAAAGGUCAGGGUUAAUAUAUAACUGAUAUGUCACUGUGUUAGGGUUU